UUGCUAUCUGCGAUAUGGAAGAUUCGAACCUGCCGCAGGUUCGGGUCUCACGUAGUGAGACAACGGAGCCGCUUGCGGCGACGGCCCGAAGGGCGAGCAAAGCGAGUCAUCCUACACGACCCACCA
rnacentral:sRNA from 1 species